rnacentral:rRNA from 1 species
GGCUACAGCCAUGCCACCCUGAACGCCCAAUCUCGUCUGAUCUCGGAAGCUAAGCAGGGUUGGACCUGGUUAGUACUUUGAUGGGAGACCACCUAGGAAUACUGGAUGCUGUAGGCU